UUUUUACCAAUUAUACAUGGAUCUGAAAGUGUUAUCUGUUCACUGACAAGUUAAUGCAUUAAAGUUUUAUUCAUGUUACGUUUAGUAACGUUUCUGCAUUUUUGUCAUGUCAUUCUAAUAAAAUAGUUUUAAUGUACAUUGUAACCACCAAGCAUUACCAUGAGCUACUUCUAGAUUGAUAUUAAAUUUCAUAUCAAUAAUUCAGGUCUCUACUGUGUUACAAUGCUUCAAGGUGCCAUGUGAUUAGUU